rnacentral:rRNA from 1 species
CCUACGGGAGGCAGCAGUGGGGAAUUUUGGACAAUGGGCGCAAGCCUGAUCCAGCAAUGCCGCGUGCAGGAUGAAGGCCUUCGGGUUGUAAACUGCUUUUGUACGGAACGAAAAGGCUCUGGCUAAUACCUGGGGCUGAUGACGGUACCGUAAGAAUAAGCACCGGCUAACUACGUGCCAGCAGCCGCGGUAAUACGUAGGGUGCGAGCGUUAAUCGGAAUUACUGGGCGUAAAGCGUGCGCAGGCGGUUUGGUAAGACGGGUGUGAAAUCCCCGGGCUUAACCGGGGAAGGGCAUUUGAGACUGCAAGGCUGGAGUACGGCAGAGGGGGAUGGAAUUCCGCGUGUAGCAGUGAAAUGCGUAGAGAUCCGGAGGAACACCGAUGGCGAAGGCGGUCCCCUGGGCCUGUACUGACGCUCAAGCGCGAAAGCGUGGGGAGCAAACAGGAUUAGAUAGCCUGGUAGU